CGUAACCACUUGGGCCAAGGCCUCCCAAUCUUUCCACCCCUAAGAAAAAUGCCAUUCCUUCCAGAGUCGAUGAGGAUAAGGAAAGCUGCGUCGGCCACCGCCGGUGCGGCGCGCCGGUCGAGAGGCGUACAGGCCUCGGAGGAAGCAACCGGCUCAGCCCGUGGUGGCGCAAUGGCAGCUGCUCGUCGCGGAGCCGAUGCGAGCAAGGGCGGGCGGCGCUCCGGCCGUGCUGUGGCGUCGACCUGUCCGUUGAAUCCAAGGCCAUUCCAGGGCCUUCAAAGUCCCGGCUUGAGCAAAGUUUUGGCGGCCGCUUAGCCGCCCUAGGGAGAGAGACGCCAUCACCUCCAUCGUCAGCCAGCUUCGUGCGAUGAUUCUCCGGAUGGCUCUUCCGCUUCCCCCACCACCACUAGAGCCGGAUUAGAUCUUCUCUACCUCGCCGCCACCGCCAUUUAUGUGUUGUGCGUGCCUCUUUAUGUGCUGGGCUUGUUGUGCUGUGCCAACAACUGAACCUUGUGUAGUGUUUGUGCGCGCGUGUGUUGGACCUUGCUUGCGGUGACGUUGUAUGUGUGUGUGUUGUUCGGAUGGUACCUUGUUGACUUUGUACUCGGUGGUUUGCUUUAUUUAUAAAGCGGGGCGAAAGGCUUUUUCGGUAA